AUUGAACGCUGGCGGCAGGCCUAACACAUGCAAGUCGAGCGAGCGGCGGACGGGUGAGUAAUGUCUGGGAAACUGCCUGAUGGAGGGGGGUAACUACUGGAAACGGUAGCUAAUAACGCAUACCAUCAGAUGUGCCCAGAUGGGAGUAGCUAGUAGGGGGGGUAAUGGCUCACCUAGGCGACGAUCCCUAGCUGGUCUGAGAGGAUGACCAGCAACACUGGAACUGCGACACGGUCCAGACUCCUACGGGAGGCAGCAGUGGGGAAUAUUGCACAAUGGGCGCAAGCCUGAUGCAGCCAUGCCGCGUGUAUGAAGAAGGCCUUCGGGUUGUAAAGUACUUUCAGCGAGGAGGCGUUACUCGCAGAAGAAGCACCGGCUAACUCCGUGCCAGCAGCCGCGGUAAUAC
rnacentral:rRNA from 1 species